ACACGCGCUCUGGGCCGCGGCAACUCGCUCCAAGUUCCCUCCCUCGCGCUCCGCGAAGCCCGCCUGAGCCCUCCCACUCGGUGCAGACCGAACCAUCGCGGCCGCCGCCGGCCGGGCCCUCCACGGCCUUGCGUCCCGGGCCGCCUCGGCUCGCGCGGGCAGCUCCGUAUCCGUGGCCCCGCGGAGGCGGCGCGAGGACUCGGCGGCCCCCGCGGCCCGCGCUCGGCCCUCCGGCGGCGCCGGCGGCCCGGACCCCGCGUGUGGCGGGCCCGACCUUCCUACCCGUCGUCCCCGGGAGCUUGGCGCCCGGCCGCGGACCGCACCGCCCGGGGCCGGGGAGCGCGGCCGAGGAGGCGCGGUGAUCGGCAUGUGCUAGCCUAAAAGGGAACGUGCCCGGCGAAGUUUUCCUGAGGAAGGUCAUCCCCGAGCUGAGUCACAUCUACCUCCCUAAGAAAUCCCCAGUUGGGCAUCCAGAGCGCCUACCCUGUUCUUUCUGCAUCUUGAAUCGAGCGUUAACAGGACACUAAGGUCUGAAGGGGAAAUAAAAGGUAAUUAAAACUUUU